AGGUUCCCGCAACGAGCGCAACCCUGCAUUCAGUUGCCAUCGGUAAGGCCGGGCACUCUGGAUGGACUGCCGGCGACAAGCCGGAGGAAGGUGGGGACGACGUCAAGUCAUCAUGGCCCUUAUGUCCAGGGCGACACACGUGCUACAAUGGCCGGCACAACGGGAAGCGAAGGGGCGACCCUGAGCGGAUCCCACAAAAGCCGGUCUCAGUUCGGAUUGCAGUCUGCAACUCGACUGCAUGAAGUUGGAAUCGCUAGUAAUCGUGGAUCAGCCAAGCCGCGGUGAAUACGUUCCCGGGCCUU
rnacentral:rRNA from 1 species